AUUGAACGCUGGCGGCAUGCCUUACACAUGCAAGUCGAACGGCAGCAUGGAGAGCUUGCUCUCUGAUGGCGAGUGGCGAACGGGUGAGUAAUGCAUCGGAACGUACCGUGUAAUGGGGGAUAACGUAGCGAAAGUUACGCUAAUACCGCAUACGACCUGAGGGUGAAAGCAGGGGAUCGCAAGACCUUGCGUUAUACGAGCGGCCGAUGUCAGAUUAGCUAGUUGGUGAGGUAAAGGCUCACCAAGGCGACGAUCUGUAGCGGGUCUGAGAGGAUGUGCCGCCACACUGGGACUGGGACACGGCCUAGACUCCUACGGGAGGCAGCAGUGGGGAAUUUUGGACAAUGGGGGCAACCCUGAUCCAGCCAUGCCGCGUGAGUGAAGAAGGCCUUCGGGUUGUAAAGCUCUUUCGGCCGGGAAGAAAUCGCACAGGCUAAUACUCUGUGUGGAUGACGGUACCGGCAUAAGAAGCACCGGCUAACUACGUGCCAGCCGCCGCAGUAA
rnacentral:rRNA from 1 species